rnacentral:lncRNA from 1 species
GUUUCAUUUGCUAUAAGAAUCUUUAGGCUCUGUCUUUCUUCUUUAAAUACAAGACUGCAUCCAUCACCAGGAACCACUAAGUUAUGCAUUUCUUUUUUUCUAGUUGUAAAACUCCUAAAUUCUUCCUCUGAAGUUGUCGACUUGGGAUUAAUAAUAAUAAUAAUAAAAAAACCCUCUCCUUUCCUCUCUCCACCAGAUAGUGGUAGCUAAACCUACUCAGGAAGAAAGAAAUGCUGUUCAUGCAGGGUGGACCCCUUUGAUCUCAGCAACUUCUAAGAACCUCCAUUCCUCAUGCUGUGGCUCCUGCUACUUCUCUCAAGGAAACUUCAAACCCAGAGCCAUCAAGCUGGCCUUUCUCCUCAGUAGUAAGAUGACAGCUCCACUCCCUUGGCAGAUUUGGCACUGA